rnacentral:rRNA from 1 species
CCUACGGGAGGCAGCAGUGAGGAAUAUUGGUCAAUGGGCGCGAGCCUGAACCAGCCAAGUAGCGUGAAGGAUGACUGCCCUAUGGGUUGUAAACUUCUUUUAUAUGGGAAUAAAAUGAUCCACGUGUGGCUUUUUGUAUGUACCUUAUGAAUAAGGAUCGGCUAACUCCGUGCCAGCAGCCGCGGUAAUACGGAGGAUCCGAGCGUUAUCCGGAUUUAUUGGGUUUAAAGGGAGCGUAGGUGGGUUGUUAAGUCAGUUGUGAAAGUUUGCGGCUCAACCGUAAAAUUGCAGUUGAUACUGGCAGUCUUGAGUACAGUAGAGGUAGGCGGAAUUCGUGGUGUAGCGGUGAAAUGCUUAGAUAUCACGAAGAACUCCGAUUGCGAAGGCAGCCUACUGGACUGCAACUGACAUUGAGGCUCGAAAGUGUGGGUAUCAAACAGGAUUAGAUACCCUUGUAGUC